UGGGAUGUCCUUAAAAUAAACUAUUAUCUGAAUUUACAUGUUAAACACGUGCUCAAUUUCCAUGCUUUUUUGUUUAUUUUUCGUCAAUUGUUGACAAACAGGUGACAAUCGUUAAACUUCGGCUUCAAGACACGAACUUUAAUUACCUGCCAUAUUUUCACAACAACACUGACCGAUUGAAAAAAAAAUUGACAAUUAUACGAAAUUUACACGAAAAAAAUGAUAAAUUCGAGCACAGAAGACUAAGUUUAUGAUGUUUGUAUGCAUUGGUUU
rnacentral:lncRNA from 1 species